AACCCAUGGUGAGGGCACCAUCUCAAUAAGUCCUUAUACCUCUCCCAAGCAUCAUUCAGGGUCCCUAAGUCAAUAUGAAUGAAAGAAGAGAUAUCAUUCCUCAAUUU
rfam:Gossypium arboreum cultivar AKA8401 contig_21310_3, whole genome shotgun sequence.